CCUACGGGAGGCAGCAGUGGGGAAUAUUGGGCAAUGGGCGCAAGCCUGACCCAGCAACGCCGCGUGAAGGAAGAAGGCUUUCGGGUUGUAAACUUCUUUUCUCAGGGACGAAGCAAGUGACGGUACCUGAGGAAUAAGCCACGGCUAACUACGUGCCAGCAGCCGCGGUAAUACGUCGGUGGCAAGCGUUAUCCGGAUUUACUGGGUGUAAGGGGCGUGUAGGGGGGAAAGCAAGUCAGAUGGGAAAACCAUGGUCUCAACCUGUGGCCUGCAUUUGAAACUGUUUUUCUUGAGUACUGGAGAGGCAGACGGAAUUCCUAGUGUAGCGGUGAAAUGCGUAGAUAUUAGGAGGAACACCAGUGGCGAAGGCGGUCUGCUGGAUAGCAACUGACGCUGAGGCGCGAAAGCGUGGGGAGCAAACAGGAUUAGAUACCCCUGUAGUC
rnacentral:rRNA from 1 species